AUCAAAAUCUACUUCCAAAAUAAAAAAAAAACCUUAGGAAUAUGGAUAAAUAUAGGAAUAAUUACAAAUUUAUUCUUUAUAUUUAUCUCAGUUUACGAAUCCUGAUCUUCUUAUAUUUUAAUUUACUAAAUGAGUCUUUCAUUUUUUCAACCUAGUUAUUUUAUUGGACGUUGUUUUGAUGCACCAUUAAAAAAAUAAAAUUAAACGCUCAUUUCUCUCUCUGUUGCCCUCUGCAACUCAUUUCUCUCUCUUCUCUCGUAUCUGGCAUCUUUGAGCCUUGUCCGUCGACGACGCAAACCGUGUAGCGGCUGUGAAACCCACGGAGACGACACAAAUGGCAGCGAUCUCAGCGUGAGCGAGACAGAGGGCCGCGUGGAGGAACCCAUUGUUGACUGAAAUCAACCCCAGUCGCAACCGAGGAACCACCGUGCAUCACCAUCGUCAACACCUCCGUGCCCUCUGUGAAACCAUUAGCCAUUAUCGUCCGCAAACCGAGUGGAAAUUAUAUUUGGCUUGCGGUGGAGAUUGGCAUCGGUAAUGUGGUGGGGAAAGGCGUUACACUGUUGCCGGGAUUGCCAGAUGCAGGGCAGAAGUUUAAAAAGGUGCAUGAAAUAAUUAUGGACCCGCAGAAAGUAAUUGCCAUUUGUGUUUAUUACUGGGCCACGGGGUCUUUGCUUUUGCAUUUGGGCCUCCUACUGUACUGUUGACCCGGAAAAAAAAAGCAUAUUUUAGCUAAGCUAAUGCAUCUGUAAGGAGAUAUUUCAUAUGUUAGUGUGAUGUUAAAGCCUUCAAGAUGGGAAAAACUUUGUAUUCAAGCUUGAUGAAGACUUCUAGUCACGAUUACGUUAUUACUGCUUCAAGUAUUAUAGAUAUAUCAAAUGGGGCAUCAAAAUUUUGUUUAUUAUUA